GUGCUCGCUUCGGCAGCACAUAUACUAAAAUUGGAACGAUACAGAGAAGAUUAGCAUGGCCCCUGCGCAGAUUUUACAAAGAACCCUAACCUUCCCAGAAGUCAC
rnacentral:snRNA from 1 species